rnacentral:lncRNA from 1 species
GCCCUUCAAGUUUUGUGACUGGGAUGCCGAGGAUCACAAAACAAGGUGUGAAUAACCAUGCUAACUCACUUGGUACUCCUAAUAUUAUCACCUAAUCAAUGUGCCGGUUAACCACACACGCUCCAUUGAUCUAUGACAACAUUAAGUUACCCUUCGUGAUCCUUACUAGUCUAAUUAGUGUGCCGGUUAACCACACACGCUCCACUAACGACUUGGUAAGGUACAAAGUGUGAAUUCCAUGGAUUAGCACCAUGUUCACAUUUUCCUAAAAUAACUAAGAUUGGGAAUUAAAAGAGUUUAGUUAUUUUAUAAUAUUCAUUAUACUUUUAAUGAGGAUUUAAAGUCGUUGUUCUACCCGUUCGGCUAACGACCCUCCACCGAUCAAGCAAGCGGUGGGUGAGAGUAUACACCCAUUAAGUCGCCAUUUUAUAGGCAACAACCUUAUACCCACCUUAUAGACCGGCUUCGUGAAUGAGGCCUACUAACGGUAAAACGACUUAUUCUUAUACAUAUAUAUAAUAAUUAACCAUUAAUGUUAUAAAUAGUAUAAGGGUUGAAUUUUAACUAUUAAAACUCUAAGGUUUGGAAUUAAAGUUUAUUAAAGUGUGUGAAACUUUACAAAUUCCAAAACUUGAGGACAAGUUUUGUAACUUUGCAAAACUCUUCAUUUCAUAACUUAUGAAUUAAAGGUUCAUAAAAAUGAAGACUCUUCAUUUUCAUGUAACUUAUGUGUUUUAAGUGUGUGUUAAAUGAAAGUGACCUUUGGUAAUCCAUAACUUGAGGACAAAUUAUGGACUCCAUUAAAACACAUAAAUGAUUAAGAAUUAAUUCUAAACAAUUCAGCAAAUAAUUCCUAUCAUUUUCUAAAUUCAUAAGAACAUGAACAUGAUCAUCAAAAAUUCAAGAAUUAUAUGAACACAUAAAAUCAUGGAUUUUUGAUAUAUGCUAUUGUAAAUGGAUUAGAACAACCAUUACACCAACUAAAAUAAGUUUUACAACACCAAAACAAUUUAGGGUAAUGUUUCCAGUCCAUUUCCAGCAGCAAAAGUCGAGAUUCUGCAUUCUUUCGAUCCUACUCGCCGAGUGCACGAACGGACUCGUCGAGUAGGUUGAAGUUUGCCUUGGACUCGGCGAGUCCCCCCAAUGGACUCGGCGAGUCUAGCAUGCAGACAGCAACGAUUUCGACUUUUUUCACUAUUUUGCAUCAAGUAUCAAACAAGCAAGCCUAGGCUCUGAUACCACUGUUGGGUUUUGAGCAAUCUAACACUUCCUAAGUGUGCAUGCAACCCUAAUAAACCUUGGAUCUAUGUUUGUCUAAAUACAUGCAAAAUAAUAAUUUUCCAAGGUUUAUAACCUAUCUAACAUGGCAUGGGGAACAUUUCAACAUAAAAGAGUUAGAAGAGAUUACAUACCUUUGUUGUGUUGGGUUCUUAGGAGUUUGAGGGCCAAGCACCAAUAGUGUGAAUGCCUCAAAUGGAAUCACAAACACCACAAACUCUUGGAAAACUUUGAGAGAGUAUACACACUCUUGUAUUUUCGGCCACACACAUGCACACACACACUAGAACACUAGCUUUCUCUUAGGCUAUCUUAGGCUCUCUUUCAUGCUCCAUAAGCAUGCUUAUAUAGUAUGCAUGGUUAGGGUGAAACCCUAAUAACCCAUGUCUUUUCCUAUUCCAAGGAUCCAUGGGUUAAAAGCUCCAUGGAUCAUCCAUGGACUUCCACAUAAGCCUAGCCCAUUAACAAAUGAGUAUUAGCCCACACUAUAUAAAACAAAUAGCCCAUAAUUUAAUUAGUAUUCCUUUUAAUCUCUAAAUUAAUCCAUAAUUAAUUUAAGACUAAAACUAAUUAAAUAACGUAACUUCAUAUUAAUAUAUUAUAACUCAUAAUAUAUUAAUAAACAUAUGUGUAUAACUCUCAUAAAAUUAUCCAUAAUAGUUUGGAUGAGAUGCAACCCAAAUGGACCAUGCCGGUCGGGUCAAGUAUAUACCAAAUAAGUUAUGGACUUAGACACCUUAUCCAACAGACUCCCACUUGGAUAAGUCUAAUAACUAUAUUUGCCUAUAACUUCAGGAACCAACCAACAAUCGUAGCUCUCGAAAACUCCCUCGAACAAUGAAGACUCUGUCGAACUAUGAAGCGCCAUUUUAGAUAAGUGAUCACAUAAUCCUCUGUUCUCAUGAUAUCAGCCGGACAAACACAUGGAACUAUGUCUUGCUUAUUGUCUAGCAGUUGUUUCUCGAUUAUCCGAUUUGUUUGACGAAGAACUUCACUGAACACAUCGGUUUAGUUCUGACCAGGCCUGGUAUAUGGGUCAACACAAAAUCAUCGAGGGGCCCGGAUAUCGCUUCUAUUUCUAGAAGGAACAGAUAAACUUCGACUGAUAUGCUUGUUCUACUACUUAUUGAAUUGUACACAAAGGCACGUUUUAUAACAUCAAGUUACUGAUGCGUUUACGUGCAAUCAAUGCACAACCAACUCAUAGGUAACAACUCAUAUCUCUAGGUUUAAAGAUUUAUAUGAUGUUAUCGUCUCACGAUCACUCGAGAUAAAUUCCAUGAAGUGAUACAAGUGAGCGUGGGUUUAUACCAAUACUCAUAACUUAUGAGUACUCAUGAAUGUUGCAGCAACCAUUGCCAUGCCUAAACACCUUUAAGGCAUCUACAAACCCAAUUCAUGACAAUCUUGAUUCAUACCUACUUCCGACGUAUGAUCGAUUGUGGAGGUUUGAACAAAUUAAUUAUUCUGGAAGUCAAAACAUGCAAAACUGAAACAAUAGUAAAUAAUUGACAAUGAUAGUAACACUUUACUCAUAAAUAAAUCACAAAUUUUAUUCAUCAUCAAACGUCGAUUACAUUUUACAAGUUUCAGGAAAACUAUCUAAUCUGUAAAACUAAUAUCGUCCCUCAGCCCGAUGCGUCUCGCAUGCUGAAAAUGCUUAACCCUCGUCAGUCCCUUCGUAAGGGGAUCUGCAGGAUUCUCAUCUGACGAUAUCCUCCUUGUCACAAGGAGUCCUUCUUCAAUCUUGUGCCUUAUGAAGUGAUAUUUUCUGUCAAUGUGUCGGGAUCUGCCAUGAUCUCUUGGUUCCUUGGCUAAGAUAACCGCAGCAUUGUUGUCACAGAAAAUCUCUAUAGGUUCCUUAAUAGCUGGUACAACUCCAAGGUCUCCGAUGAAGUUCUUUAGCCAUAUCGCCUCCUUCGCUGCUUCACUCGCUGCUAUAUACUCUGAUUCACAAGUCGAAUCAGCCACCGUCUCCUGCUUGGAACUCUUCCAAGAAAUUGCCCCUCCAUUUAAGGUAAAGAUCCAGCCCGACUGAGAGCGGAAAUUAUCCCUAUCAGUCUGAAAACCAGCAUCACUAUACCCUAAUAUUCUCAAGUCAUCACUGCCACCAAGGGUAAGGACCCAAUCCUUAGUCCUCCGCAGGUACUUGAGAAUGUUCUUUACCGCGGUCCAAUGAGCCUUGCCAGGGUUCCCCUGAUACCUGCUGACCAUGCUCAAAGCAAAUGCCACAUCAGGACGGGUACAAGUCAUAGCAUACAUGAUCGAGCCAACUGCGGAAGCAUAUGGUAAUUGGCUCAUCUCAGCUAUCUCAGCCUCUGUACUCGGACUCUGAGUCUUACUCAGUUUGGUAUUGCUUUGGAUCGGUAAAUCUCCUUUCUUGGAAUUCUCCAUGUUGAACCUUUUCAACACCUUAUCCAAGUAGAUACUCUGACUAAGUCCAAUUAGUCUUCUACUCCUUUCUCUUAAUAUCCUUAUCCCUAGGAUAUAGGUAGCCUCCCCUAGGUCCUUCAUAGCAAAGCACUUCCCAAGCCAGGACUUAACCUCCUGCAAGGUUGGGAUGUCAUUUCCUAUGAGUAGUAUGUCAUCCACAUACAGUACCAAGAAGCUAACUAUACUCCCACUAGCUCUGACAUACACGCAAGACUCAUCUUCGCUUCUCAAGAAGCCAAACUCUUUUACCUUCUCAUCAAAACAAAGAUUCCAGCUACGAGAUGCUUGUUUUAAUCCAUAAAUGGAUUUCUUAAGCUUGCAUACUCUAUUAGGGUACUCUGCAUUGACAAAACCCUCUGGCUGAUUCAUGUACACAUCCUCAGCCAACUUUCCAUUAAGGAAAGCGGUUUUGACAUCCAUUUGCCAUAUUUCAUAAUCAUGAAAUGCUGCAAUGGCUAACAUAACCCUAAUAGACUUAAUCUUGGCCACCGGCGAGAAGGUUUCAUCAUAAUCAAUACCUUGAGUUUGAGUAAAACCCUUCGCAACCAGUCGAGCCUUAUAAGUAUGCACUUUUCCUUCCAUGUCGGUCUUCUUUUUGAAGAUCCAUUUGCACCCGACUGUUUUACGGCCUGGUACAUUGUCAACCAAGUUCCAAACUUGAUUGUCAUACAUGGACUGUAUCUCGCUGUCCAUAGCCUCCUUCCACUUAGCAGACUUCGGGUCUGCCAUUGCUUCCUUAACACUGCUAGGUUCAUCCAAAUUUACCAGUGUACUAUCGCUGAUAAACGUAUCACCUUCCGUAGUAAUAUGAAAGCCAUAAUAAAAUGAUGGUGUGUUCCUAACCCGUGUGGAACGUCUCGGAGGUACAGACUCGUCAGCUGGAUCAACAGGAGUUUCUACCUCAGGUUGAUUGCUAGUGUCUGAGGUUCCUUCACCAAUUGAUUCUUGAAUUUCUUCAAGAUCAAUCUGCCUCCCACUGUCUCCUUGGCUUAUAAAUUCUUUCUCGCGAAAGAUCCCUCUUCGUGCUACAAAGACCACAUUCUCACUGGGUCUGUAGAAAAGGUAACCGAAGGAUUUCUGUGGGUAGCCGAUGAAAAUACACCUUUCACUUCGGGGUUCAAGCUUAUCAUGAGUUUCACGCCUCACGAAGGCUUCGCAACCCCAAAUUUUGAUGUGGUCCAAAUUGGGAACCUUCCCAGUCCACAUCUCAUGAGGUGUUUUGGUAACCUUCUUUGUAGGGACUAGAUUAAGGAUAUGGGCGGCAGUCUCUAAGGCAUACCCCCAAAAAGAGAUUGGUAACGAAACUCGACUCAUCAUAGAGCGAACCAUGUCCAACAAGGUACGAUUACGCCUCUCAGCUACACCAUUCAGCUGUGGUGUCCUGGGAGGAGUCAAUUGUGAGACAAUCCCACACUCCUUAAGAUAGUCAAGGAACUCGGUACUAAGAUACUCACCACCUCGAUCGGAUCGAAGCAUCUUAAUGUUCCUGCCCAAUUGAUUUUCUACUUCCUGUUUGAAUUCCUUAAACCUUUCAAAGGUUUCUGACUUAUGUUUGAUUAAGUAGACAUACCCAUAUCUACUAAAAUCAUCAAUAAAAGUCACAUAAUACCGAUUAGCAUCCCUUGUGGCGGUUUUGAAUGGCCCACAUACAUCAGUAUGUAUUAGGUCCAACAAACCCUCACCCCUUUCACAAGUUCCAGUGAAGGGUGAUUUUGUCAUCUUUCCAAGUAGACAAGAUUCACAACUAUCAUCCGAUUUAAGGUCGAAUGACUCCAAGACUCCACUCUUUUGGAGUUGGCCUAUGCGUUUCUUGUUUACAUAUCCAAGACGACAAUGCCACAAUGAUGCUUUAUCUAGGCUAGUAGAAGAAUCAAUAUACAACACAUUAUUUCCUAAGUUGUCUACAAGCGACACAGUUUCAUACACACCAUCACAAGCUAAUGCUUUAAAAAAAAACACAUUUUUAAAGAAAGCAUUAAUACCACCACAUUCAUUAUCAAACGAAAAGGUAAAACCUUGUUUGUACAAGGCAUGAAAAGAAAUAAUAUUUCUCACCAUUUCAGAUNCAUUUCAGACGAGUACACACAUUUAUUCAAAUCUAAUUUCAACCCAUUAUUAAGCAACAAAGUAUAAACUCCAAUCUUGGAAACAGGUGAAGCCUUCCUAUUCCCCAUGAUCAAGUUUAUCUUCCCGUGCUCCACAUCCUCACUUCUUCUUAGGCCCUGCAAAUCAGAACAUAUGUGAAUACUACAUCCUGUAUCAAGCACCCAAGAGUUAGAAUAUGAUGAAGAAUUAGACAAUAUAGUGUAAAUACCUGCGUGGGUGGGUUUCACUUUCCCAUCCUUUAGAUCCUGCAAGUACUUAGGGCAGUUUCACUUCCAGUGCCCCUUUUCCAGGCAAUAGUAGCAAUCAGCAUCCUUGGGAAUGGCAGAAGGAGUGACAAGACCGCUCUUGGUCUUCGAUGAGGAGCCUUCAAGAGACUUUCCCUUGGUACCCUUCGAAGGGUGCUUCCUCUUCUUCCCUUUUCCUUGUCCGAUAGCCAAAACAUGGGUAGAUGUUGGAGUACGAGUAGUAGAGGUAACAACCGCCUUGCCCUUAAGACCGGAUUCAGCAGUCUUCAAGAGUCCUUGAAGCUUGCUGAGGGUAACUUCCUCCUUGUUCAUAUAAUAUGUCAUACGAAAAUGGUCAUAACAAGAAGGUAAGGAGUGCAAAAUGAUGUCAAUUGCCAACUCCUCAGGAAGUUCAUAUUCAGCUUUAGCAAAUGGUCCACGUACCUUUGCAUCUUUUGCAUGUGGGCCGUGACGGAUUCUCCGUCCUUUAUGCGGGUAGUUAUGAUGGAGGAGAUUAUUUCAUACCGCUCCUGACGAGCACUCUGAUGGUACCUUUCCAUCAGGUCUUGGUGCAUCUCAAAAGGGUAGGAGUCUUCAUAUGACUUUUGGAGCUCGGAUCUCCUCAGGAGUAGCAGUAGACUCAUCAAGCUCUUUUAACUCCUUAUCAAGGACAUAUUCCUUGUCCUCAUAACGAGUAACCAUCCUGAUGUUCCUAAUCCAAUCCAUGAAGUUGGAACCAUCAAAGAUGACCCUCCCACAAAGAUUCAUGAGAGAGAAAGAACCAGUUGGGUUAGAGCCUGAAGCAUUAGUGUUGGAAGACAUCUGAAAGAAGAAAGCAAGUUUAGAUUAGAUAUAUAGAAUCCUUAAUAAGACACCCAAAUGUAAUAUUAAGGCUAGGACCCAAUCACAAUAUAUUAUACUUAGAAGAGGGAUGCCGUAAUCUAAGUAAUAAUAUAUUUGAAAGGUAGGUGAAUGACGAUUCACCAAUUUCCACCAUGAAAAACAAAAUGAAUUAUUAGGUUUUAAUUGGAUUUGAAAUUCCUAGAUUCUUUUGAGAUUCAUUGAACUUUUCAAUGGCAUGUUUCAAUCUCGAUUGUGCCCUUCAAGUUUUGUGACUGGGAUGCCGAGGAUCACAAAACAAGGUGUGAAUAACCAUGCUAAUUCACUUGGUACCCUUAAUAUUAUCACCUAAUCAAUGUGCCGGUUAACCACACACGCUCCAUUGAUCUAUGACAAACAUUAAGUCACCCUUCGUGAUCCUUACUAGUCCAAGUUAGUGUGCCGGUUAACCACACACGCUCCACCAAUGACUUGGUAAGGCACAAAGUGUGAAUUCCAUGGACUAGCACCAUGUUCACAUUUUCCUU